UCGGAGCGCCUUUCCCAGCUGGCAGAGAGGAAGGGCUGUGGAGGCCCGGCCGCCACUGCUCCCGGGGGCUGCGGCGGGUGCUGAGUCACACGGCUGCACCCACACUCCGCAGCCCCUACAGUGGGCUGGGGCCAGUGCUGAAUCGGGACUCAGCGGGAGACAUCUGUCCUGCGAGGCAGUAAGGGCAGGGGGCCUUGAGGGGCCUCAGUGUGAGAGCCAGGUCAACUUCCACGGAGGGUCUCUGGAGGGCUUCCUUGAGGAGGGGACCACGUGGAGGCAACAAAGUACGCCGGGUGGCGUCGUGCCCGGCUCCACACAUGGCUCUCCUGAGAGGGGCAGGCCAAGGGGUGGCUCGGCGCUCGACCAGAGACCACGGGCGGCUUCCAGCUGCCACCGCAAGUAAGGACAGAUUCUCCUCACAGGAAGCCCAGGGGCUGCUGGGCCAACCAAGCCCCUCCGUCUGCCUGAGUCAUUCCAGGUCACAGAACUCACCGUCCAGGUGGCGGGGAGGAAAUCGAGGCUCAGACCGUUGGCCGCUGCUCGGGGCCGCACUGGCAAGAGGAGGGGAAGGACUCAAACCCAGGCCCCGCUCCCAAAUCCCCGGCCUCUAAGGCGGCCUCUGUGGGCAGGGGCAGGGCACGAGCCCAGGAUGCCAUGUGGUGGCUCAGGACACACACCCGAGGGAAAGAGAAAGUAAGGCCAAAGCCACGGGUGCCCCAAGGCCUGGUGUGGCCGGGGGCCUUGGGGAGAAGAUCCCCCAUAGCCCAGCUAGGCCCUGGUCUCGUGUUCCCCACCAGUACUUGACCCUGUGGCCACUCUGGUCGGCCAGGCCCAUCCACCCAUCACAGAACCUCUUCCCCGACUGCCUGCUGAUCGACACCCACAAUCUGCGCACACGGAGAUGCCGAGACCUGUGAUGUCUGGUCUCCAAGGCUCCGUCCAAUUCUGGACCGCCACAGCCAAGAUGCUGUGAACACCUGGGUACAAGUCUUUGCAGGAGCCGAUGGUCACUUCUCUUGACCAACUUGAUGUAUCCUGAUGUAAGAUCCUAGAAAGGGAGCUCACUCAGUGGGUCUGAUGUGGUGGAUGCUUGCCCGGGAAGUUCUGCGCGUGCAUGGCACCAUCUCCCGUGAACACGCAUAGGAGGUCAUGCCUGACCUCUACAACUACAGAAAUCCUGAAGAGAUUGAAAAGGAAGAGCAGGCGGCAGCUGAGAAGGCUGUGACCAAGGAGGAAUUUCAGGGUGAAUGGACUGUUCCAGCUCCUCAGUUCCCUGCUGCUCAGCCUGAGGUGGCGGACUGGUCCGAAGGUGUGCAGGUGCCCUCUGUGCCCGUUCAGUGGUUCCCCGCUGCUCAGGCCACUGAGUGGGUAGGAACCGCCACCGAGCGGUCUUAAGCUGUUCUUCCACAAACUCUUAAAAUGGAAAUAGGUUGACGGAAAAUAAAGUUUCUAAAAAAAAAUUAAAAUAAAAAAAUAAAGUAUUCCCACCCACGA